UCUUGUCACUUUGUAUUUUAUUUUAUUGUCUUUUAUUUUGCUUUACUGUCUGGAAAGGAGACUGUUGAUUAGAAAAUCAGUGUUUGCUUUCUUUUCCUUCUUUUCUCCUCCUUCUGAAGUAUACACCUCAUUAUUACAGUACAACUACCUGAAGUAGAAGUUUCAUUAUUCAGGUGUGUGGCAGUGACAGUUUACUAACGCAAUUAUUUAAUGUUUCCUACAUAUCUCGCUUGUUUUGGAAUAUUUACCAAGAAAACACACAGCAAAGAACAAAUCUUAUUCAUCAAAUACAUUUUUCCCUUAAGGAAAAAAAAAAGUACCUAAUAAUGAUUAUAACAUUACAAACUCUUUACAGUUGGCAUAAACAAGUUUAAGCAACAUCAACAAGUGUCCUGCUUAAGUUUAAUCAGCCAGAAAUAUUUUUUCUUUCCAUUUUAUAUAAAUGUGAGGACAGCUUUCCUUCGUAUUCUUAUUGUCAUUUGUCAGAAACCUCGGCCACACAGUUCGUCCUAACUUACUUGUUUCAGUCCAGUUGCUUGGCCUUAUGACGAUAUAUAUUUCUCAAGAGAGAAAGGAAAAGGAAGACAGAAAGAUUAAAACAACAAAGCGCACCUGAGACCAGCUCGACAAAUGAAUCAUAAAAGAAAGAGGCAGGGCGAAUGUUGGAACAAUAAGUCUCACGCUGGUGACAUUUAACCAUGUUUCACAACAGUAACCCUCUAAAACCUGCAAAGGUAAAAAACCUGCUUCAUUUUUGUGACAAAACGAAAAAAAUGUCGUGAUCAAAUAUUAAGAAUUUUUUAUGUUGAAAACUCCAGAAUGAAUUUGUGGAUUAUCACCUAAACUAAAUAUUAUAACUUCGUGUCGUCAAAUGUCAUCACCUUAGUUGUCUGUUUAUGUUUUAUUUUGCUUUCUUUGGAUACAAAAUUUUAAGGAUUUUGUCUUAAACAAUUUUAUUUUUCCUUUCUUUCAACCGUUAAAUCUUUUUUCAUUUAUUUUGUACUUUUAUGGAACUUCAAUAUUUUCUUAAUUUAUUGUACAUUUAUGAGUACCAAUUGUGGACUAGUUAAUACUUCUCCCUGUACCAAACAAGAACAUACAAAAUAAAGCCGGAUGAAGCUUAAGUUUAAUUUAAAACAAGCUUAAUAAACACUUUCUUAUAAAACUCGAAAGAGUAAAAAAAAAGUUUAAGAAGAUGGCUGUCAGAGCAACAGAUUGUUUGUUGUCAAGUCCUGCGAUAUCUUCUAAGUGUAACAGCCCUCUCUCUAAACCGUCUCAGUUACCAUCAGCGUCACCAAAACCGAAUUCUAGUCGACUAACGCGACAUCAUGGUUCCAACAAACCGAUGUCAAUGAAGGAACACCUAGCCAAACAGAAACUACCUUUCUGGGUGAGACUUGUUACUGGAAACUCCCGACGUUCAUCGGAAUCAUUGCUUAUGCCAGCUAUUCGAUCUAACUCUUCUGAUACUGUCAGUACUCCUAUACAAAUCUUGGAGAUUCGUCGAAGAAGAUUUGUAACUACUAGUAAGAUGCAAUGGGAAAGGAGAGUCCAGGAUUACGUAGUGACCGGUUCAGACCUUCCUAUUCCGCUUCAUUUCUCAGGUUGGUUCGAAGUGAUUCCAGACGAUGGACGACCUGUAGAAUAUUUUGACUCAAUACAAGGAAUCACUGCCAUCAAACCCAAGAAAUUUCUGGUGCGUACAUCUACAGUUGGAUACGAGUUAGGAGAAGAAAACGGCUCUGUAUCCUGGGUACCAAGAGAGAUUUUUCCAGGUGAAGUACUAAGUACCGGAAUGGUUUAUAUGGAUCAUCGCAAGACUUGUCUUUCUACUAACAUGAAAAACUUAUUUAAAAGAUUCCUAAAGUACCGUACCAUUAAUACAAAGAAAGAUCAAGACUUGAAAUAUCUUCAGUGCUUUGAUGGACAAGGUCAUGAGGUUAUGAUCCCUUUGAUUAUGACAGGUGUAUUUAGCCCUGUCGGAGACCCAAAUAAGAAGAAUUAUGAUGCUGUCUAUGAACUAAAAGAUUUAACAAAAGCUUUUGAUCUUCCUGUGAAAGCUCAGUUAGUACAUGCAGAAUCCAAUCAGAAACAUUAUGUACCACAUGGGGUGUUAAAAUUAAAAACUCUUGAUGAAGAUGAUUGUGUUGUCGCAUCAAAACGCCUUGAUCAAAAGGAUACAUUUGAACUUCCUCUAGAUGAAGAUUUGCGUUAUAUCAGAGAUAUAGCCCCAAAAUCUCCACUUGUAAGAAAACUUUCUACUCGCAGCCUGGUUCUUCCAAAUUAUGCACCUAAAACUCUUAAUAGAACACCAUUUUUCUCCAGUAAAACCGACCAAAAACCAAAAGUUGAUUUACCACUUCGUGUUCCUACAAAAGACACCAAGAAACCAAAAGCAGCAGGUUUCAUUGAAAGAUUUGGUGCUCGUAAGACGAAAAAGGAAAGAGCAGCAUUUAAAGCUCUCCAAGAAGAAGGUGUAUUUUCAUCUCGAUUAUGUAAAGCUGAGAUGCCUUUUGAUGCAUUCUACUCUACUUAUACAGAAGAGGCUAAUAAAUGUGCCAAGAAGAAUAAUUGUCAAGAGUCUGAGAACAAGUCUGAACCUGAGAAUAAUGUUGCUGAUGGAUCAAUAUCAUCACAGUCUUCAACAUCUACUAUUACACCAACGGGUCCCCCUUUAUGUUCACCAGAAUCUUCUCUGAUCGAUCCAUUUGAGAGUCAAUAUGCCAAAAUCUGCAAGAAGCCAUCAAUGAUGAAACGUGACUUGCCUCCUGUGCCUUUAGAUAAAGAUGACAGUGAAACUGGAACUAUAGUAGAUGAAGAUGGCAAAUUGUCCAUGUCUUCAACUGACACUUUGUACGAGCAUCUACCAGAAGCACCAAACCCACCACCAAAGUCCCCCUCCCUCACAAAACCAAAACUUGAUUUUAAUUCUAAAGAAAAUGUGAUGAGUUUAGUAGAAAAUGAAGAAGAUGGCUAUAUGGUACCUUCCCAUUUGCAAAGAAAGAAAACACAGAAACAUAACUUGACAAAUCCAAUUGUGGUAUCACAAUCUCGAGAUGUGUUUCAGCCAAACUUUAUCCCUAAAUUUUACAAAGAUACAACAUAUGCUAACUGUGGAAGACCUAGAAAUGGAUACAAACCUGCUUUUCAACAUAGUGCCAGUCUUGAUAGAAAGUUAUUGAAUGAAACAUCAGUAUCAACUUCCAAUCUGAACCGAAUCUCCCACAAGCCUCCUCCAACUACUCCAUGCUCUCGCAGGAAUUCUGCUGCAGCAGAACAUAGUUCUUCACGGAGUCGUUUCCAAAGACAAAACAAUGUCCAGAAAAUCUGUCAGUGUCAUCAGAAUCCGAACCUGAUGAACUGCCCACACUAUUCUGCAGAACUUCAGCGCGGCUCUCACACAAUGGAUCCCAAUUUAACUUUACGGCACCACAAUAUGAGACGGCUGAAGAGUGCGAUAGAAAUGUUUCAUUUUACUGAUUCCUUCCAAGAAAUGAGACCCGCAUCAUUUGGUUCCAGCUGUUCCCCGACUGAAGAAUGUUAUCCACAUGACCAUUAUGAUGUCAAAGGAUAUCAACAACCAUAUGACUAUUUUGAAGUUGGUAACAACCAGCCAAACCACAAUCCAUACUCCGAGAGUGAUCCAGGCAAUCGUUAUUUUGUCCGAUCUGUGUCUGUAACAGGACUUAGUGACAACUGUGCCAAACAUGGUGACGACUCAGCUAUAUCUCUCUGUUCAAAAGGUGACUAUGGUUAUCAGGCAGGGAGUGAUUUCAGCUAUACAGACUACACAGAUGUUUUUAAUGACGAUGGAUGGCUUCCACCUGACAAUAUUAGUAGCCUUUCUGUGCAAGACGUUUCUCGUUCUCUGCGUUACAUUGGCAUGAAGGACAGAGUGGUGAAAAGAUUUGCAAACGAACAGAUUGAUGGACAAAUGUUAGCUUCUCUGGAUUGGAAAUUACUGCAAGAUGGGUUCCCAGAACUAAAUACUUUGGAAGUCAAAAAGAUCAUUGAUUUUGUUAAUGGUUGGCGACCAAAGAAAUCAGUAUCAUAAUCUUGCAAAACUUUAAAACAAAUAAAUAUACACACACACACACAUACAUACAUGCAUAUAUAUAUAUAUAAUAUA
rnacentral:misc_RNA from 1 species